GCUAUACAGCUAGCUUAACCACCUAAAUUACCAAACCAACAUUAUCCCACUUAACAAAACCACACCACCCCAAACUAAAACAUUUUACCGCCCCAGUACGUGAGACAGAAAAGGCCCUUCAUAGCAAUAAUAAAAGUACCGCAAGGGAACGCUGAAAGAGAAAUGAAAUAAAUCAUAAAAGCACAACAAAGCAGAGACUAGCCCUCGUACCUUUUGCAUCAUGAUUUAGCCAGCCCCCCUGAGCAAAGCGUACUUUAGUUCAGACCCCCGAAACUAAGUGAGCUACCCCGGGACAGCCUAUUAAUUAGGGCCAACCCGUCUCUGUGGCAAAAGAGUGGGAAGAUCCCCGGGUAGAGGUGACAGACCUACCGAACUUAGUUAUAGCUGGUUGCCUAAGAAAUGGAUAGAAGUUCAGCCUCACACUCCUUAACUCACAACUACCAACUAAAUAUGAGCCAAAGAAACAUGUGAGAGUUAGUCAAAGGGGGUACAGCCCCUUUGAAACAGGACACAACCUCAACCAGGAGGUUAAAGAUUAUAUUAAACAAGAUACCCGCUCCAGUGGGCCUAAAAGCAGCCACCUGAAUAGAAAGCGUUAAAGCUCCUGCGGACUAAAAUCUACUAUCCAAAUAUUUAAUCUAAAACCCCUAACAACAUUAGGCCCCUCCAUGCCACCAUGGAAGAGAUACUGCUAAAAUGAGUAAUAAGAGGGGAAACCCCCUCUCCUCGGCCUACGUGUAUGCUAGAUCGGACCCACCACUAGCAAUUACCGAACCCAACCAAAGAGGGCAAUAUGACCUCACCAAACGACAAGCAAACCUCACAUGACCCUAUCGUUACCCCCACACCGGAAGGCCCAACUUCUAGAGGAAAGACCAAAUAAAAAGGAAGGAACUCGGCAAAUACAAGCCUCGCCUGUUUACCAAAAACAUCGCCUCCUGCAAACAUCAACGUAUAGGAGGUCUCGCCUGCCCAGUGACAAGUUAAACGGCCGCGGUAUUUUGACCGUGCGAAGGUAGCGCAAUCACUUGUCUUUUAAAUGAAGACCUGUAUGAAUGGUAGAACGAGGGCUUAACUGUCUCCCUUUUUUAGUCAAUGAAAUUGAUCUGCCCGUGCAGAAGCGGGCAUAACAAUACAAGACGAGAAGACCCUUUGGAGCUUAAGACUCCAGAUCAAUUAUGUCAAGAACUUAAACCAAGUUAAACCAAAUAACACCUGAUCCUAAUCUUUUGUUGGGGCGACCGCGGGAGAAAACAAAGCUCCCAUGAGGACUGGACCCACCUCCAGAACCAAGAAAGACAUCUCUAAGUCACAGAACCUCUGACCAUAAAGAUCCGGCCACCCGCCGACCAACGGACCAAGUUACCCUAGGGAUAACAGCGCAAUCCCCUUUCAGAGUCCAUAUCGACAAGGGGGUUUACGACCUCGAUGUUGGAUCAGGACAUCCUAAUGGUGCAGCCGCUAUUAAGGGUUCGUUUGUUCAACGAUUAAAGUCCUACGUGAUCUGAGUUCAGACCGGAGCAAUCCAGGUCAGUUUCUAUCUGUAAUGCCACUUUUCCCAGUACGAAAGGACCGGAAAAAGGGGGCCCAUAUUACCAAUACGCCCCACCCCAACUUAAUGACAACAACUUAAUUAACUAAAGGGAGGGCAUACCCCAUCCGUCAAGAUAAGAUU
rnacentral:rRNA from 1 species